ensembl:lncRNA
CUUUAGUUGAGGGUCACCCCUGGUAGUGUUAAUUAUCUGGCACUUUUGCCUUUGAUUUCGUGGACUGAGAAUGGUUCUGCAUCAGAGAGAUCCAUGCAGUAGAGAAGGGCCGUUGCAGAGGUAGGAAGCCCUCAGUGUGUGAGGGAACGGCCCACCAGGCUGCAUCACGGGUAGGUCAGGGGGAUGUGGGUCGAGUUCUGACUGGCCCCUACAGUCCUCCACUUUUCCUUGUUUCUCCAUCCUUUAUGCUGUGAACUGAGUGCUUGUCUGCUCUGGAAAUGCGUGUGCUGAAGCCUUAAUACCCAAAGUGAUGAUCUUUGAAGAUGAGGCCUUUGGGGAUGAUUAAGUUCGGGUGAUAUCAUGAGGACUGAGCCUUUAUGAUGGGAUUAGUGCCUUUAUAAGAAGAGGAAGACUCUUGAGAGUCCCUUGGACUGCAAGAAGACCAAACCAGUCAGUCCUAAAGGAAAUCAGCCCUGAAUAUUCACUGGAAGGACUGAUGCUGAAGCUGAAGUUCCAAUAAUUUGGCCAUGUGAUGCGAAGAGCUGACUUAUUGGAAAAGACCCUGAUGCUGGGAAAGAUUGAAGGCGGGAGGAGAAGGGGGCGACAGGAUGAGACAGUUGGACGGCAUUGCUGACUCAAUGGACUUGAGCUUGAGCAAACUCUGGGAGAUGGUGAAGGACAGGGGAGCCUGGCGGGCUGCAGUCCGUGGGGAUGCAGAGAGUUGUCUGUGACUUGGUGACUGAACAACAGCAACCACAAAGAAGAGGAAGAGGUCCUAGGCCUCUCUUUAUCCACCGUGCUUAGAAUCACAGAAGGUGAUGUCUGCAGCCCGUGAAGAAGGCUUUCAUGGCUCUGGCCAUGUUGGCGCCCUGACCUUGGAUUUCCGGUCUCCAGAACUCUGAAAAAUGAGUGUCUUGCUGUUUAAGCCACCCUCUGUGGUAUUUUAUUAUAGCAACCCAAGCAGACUAAGGCACUGGCUAUUGCUUUGCAUGUACUUAUCCUGUUUGGUAGUCAUACCCUUACUUGUUUGUAUGUUUAUUAAAUUAAUAUGUUGUAGAGCCCAAGACGAACAAGGCAAUGGCAACCCACUCCAGCGCUCUUGCCUGGAAGCUCCCAUGGACGGAGGAGCCUGUGACCUCUCUUCUUUUGAAUGCUGGUGGCCUGAUGACUUCCCAGGAGAUGCUAGUGGUAAAGAACCCCCCUGCCAGUGCAGGAGAUGCAUGGAUUAUCUGGUUUGAUCCUCACUACAACGCUACGAACCUGAUGACCUCCACUCAGAGAUAAAAAACUGUGACUUGUCCAAGAUUCCCUGAGCCCUAGUGUGCGCUGGGAGCAGAUUUCUGCACAGGCUGUCUCAGCCCAAAGCCCUGGCUGUCCGUCAGGACCUCUGCGUGUCAGUCACCCCCUCUUCAGUGACUUUGGCUCUAUCCAGAGGACAGCUGCAUUAUUAUUUUCCUGAGCAAAAAAAAAAACAAGUAACCUUACCCCUCACAGUGCUAUCCUGGGAUGGGUUCAGAGCACUUGUGUAUGUUAUUUUUCCAAUAAAUUUUGAGGAAUCGCUGCUUUCAAACCACAAUGUGAAGCCACCCUGUGGUAAUAUCAAAAUGAAUUUUUAAUGAUUGAGCACUAUAUAGGUGAAAAUUAUUGUAAUAAUUGAUGAAUUAAUCCACGCGUGGGCCGCAUACCCGCUAGAAGAGGGCUGAG